CUAAUAGGGGCCCCAGAGAGCUGCAUGUGAAGACAGCAGAAGGCAUUGGCUGCAGGUCGGGAAGAAAGCUCUCGCCUGGAAUGACCCUGCCUCCCUGCCUGUGCUCGCCACGCGGGACCAGGUUUUCUGACCAUACCAGAGUCCAGGUCACCAUCCAGACCUCCCAGAGAGCCUGGGCUUGAGCCAAGGGCAGUGCUCAGUGUGGUCUCUGGGAUAAGAACCAGAUGAAGGCCAGGGACUGAGGGCCACCGUCUCUACAGCAGGACACGUUUCCCAGCCUCACCUGUAACAGUGAAGAAGCUGAAGCACAGAGAGGCAGUAUCAC